rnacentral:precursor_RNA from 1 species
AUAGAUACAAGGUAGUAUUAGGAGAUGAGAGAGAGAUAGAAAUAGAUAGUAUUAUUUAUUCCAUAUGGGUAGUCCAUAUGCUUAUGGAUACCUUUUGUUAUUUUCUUCAUAUGGACUAGUUGCACAAUGGUAAUAGGUAGCUGAAUGGAAUAUAAUAUUGCCUAUGGACUACUUUUGCUUUACAUUGUGGAUGCCCUAACCUGAAACAGAGGAAGUAGAUGAUAUCCCACGCGUUAAAGUGAAAACUUUUGAAACCAUGUCCACCCGUACACACGUUAUAUAAAAUUAUGCUUCUAGAUCCAAUAUCAAUAAUAUAUACUCCCAUAACAAACAUAUUCCAAAAGUUUUCACUAUAACACGUGGGAAAACAAGUUUGCCCAAAACACGUUAAUUGAAUAUAUGCCAUUAAAAA